AUUGAACGCUGGCGGCAGGCCUAACACAUGCAAGUCGAACGAGUGGCGGACGGGUGAGUAAUGUCUGGGAAACUGCCCGAUGGAGGGGGAUCAUUACUGGAAACGGUAGCUAAUACCGCAUACCAUCGGAUGUGCCCAGAUGGGAUUAGCUAGUAGGUGGGGUAACGGCUCACCUGGGCGACGAUCCCUAGCUGGUCUGAGAGGAUGACCAGCCACACUGGAACGGUGACACGGUCCCGACGCCUACGGGAGGCAGCCGUGGGGAAUAUUGCACGAUGGGCGCAAGCCUGAUGCAGCCAUGCCGCGUGUAUGAAGAAGGCCUUCGGGUUGUAAAGUGCUUUCAGCGGGGAGGCGUUACUCGCAGAAGAAGCACCGGCUAACUCCGUGCCAGCAGCCGCGGUAAUUC
rnacentral:rRNA from 1 species